AUUUGGUCAUUGGUACAAAUCACCGUUUCAUUGAGCUCUGGUGUUUAAAAAAUGGGGGCAAAAAAAGGUUUUCAAACAAGAGGACAAUAAAAAAGUCCCUUUAGAGAAAGCAAGGUCACGCCACGGUAUUUCAACAAGAUUGAAGUCCUGACCCGGAGAAGUCCUUUAAGUUCAAUUUGAGCCAUUCAGUCAGAAGUGGACUUGAUGUUGUGCUCUGAAUCGUUAUUCUACUACAUAGCAGAAAUUUGUUUGACUUUAAGGUCACAAACUGAGGACCAGACAUUCUCAUUUGGGAUUCUCUCUAUAAGAGAGCAGAAUAUGUGCUUCAAUCAGCAAAGCAGGCCCAGAUUAUUACAAUGCCCCCACAAUGUUUCAUUAUCAGUGUGAUGUUCGUCUGAUACACUUCAGCACAUGUACACCUUUCAAAAGGUUGCACUUUGUCUCGUCAGUCCAGUGAAAGCCAACCCCUAGGAAUGACUUCAUCAGCCUUUUCAGAUCAAUAAAUGUCAGCGACUCUGUUUCCCUUCCAUUGAAUUUAGAUCACACCUACUUCAUACUGUCAGACAGGUACUUAACCCUUUGAUAUGGGUGUAAGAAGUGAAAUUAAGCUGUCCAAAAAUGUGGCCUAAGGGAAUGUUGGUUUCAAUAGAUUUUAUUUAGUGAGAUCAAGCUUUUUUGUUUUUGUUUUAGAUGACUAGGAACAUUUAAGUGUGGCAAAUAAAAACAACUUUUCUUUUACAGAACUGUGAAUUUCUCUUUAAAAAUUGUCAACAUAAUGAAAAGCUUCAUAAUGGCAACUUGGGGUUAAGUCAACAAUAAGUAACAGGAAAAAACUGGAAUCAAACCCAGAACUUUCUGAUUAUAGGACGACUACUCUUCAAAUUGAGUCAGAUUUCCCUUCAACACAUAAUACAUUACUCAUAUUUAAAUUAUACGAAUAACUACAACUUAGAAGUGAAGAAAACAAGUAGUAAAAGAGCUUUCUGCCUGAUUUUUGAUACUGAAUCAUGUAUGCGGUUUGUAAAGUGUGCACUGACCCUCCACCAUGGGCUCCAGGUGAACUGCCGAGACCGCCGUCGUUUGAGCGAAGAGCAACCAGGUGAAAACCACACCGCUGGACACCAUCUUCCACAUCCUGUCCCUCUGGUUUCUCUCUGCUCUGCCACUCUGCUGCUGCUUGAAUCUUUCCCUAAAUUUCACUGUCACCAGAAGAUGUAGCGCUUCUCUCCUUCUCCAACCCAUGAAACCCAGCUCUAAAUGAACUGGGACCACCCUCCCACCCCACUAUCCCCUUCUCUGGCAUUAAAACACCAGUUUGAAUGAUGCUUCAGACAACAAUGAGAUUCCACACAUGAAUAGGGUUGACCGAGGCGAGUCCAAGGUAACACGGAUGACACCACCUACUACAGCGAUGUCGUCUUAGUAAACACCUUACUAAGUUGCUUACCGCGGGGAGCAACUAUAUAUGUGGAAAAAACCCUGAAAGGGUUACUCUUUGUUCUCUCCGUCUUUUGUUUGGACACUUUAAAACAUUUUAUUGGUGCGGGAAUCCCAGUUGGCAAGGACAAAAGAGACUCAUUAUAGGUCAAGGGCAAUUCACUGACUAGUUUGCAUGUGUGUAGUUAGACACGGAGUGAAAUCCCGCUACCGCAUGCAAAUUCAAGAAAUACAUCCUCAUUUUAAAAAAAAAAAAAAAAAAAAAACCUUAAAACCAACAUGUAUUAAAUCAUUUUGAACAUUAAACUUGUUCAGGCACUUUGCAAAUGGAAAUAAAGGGGGAAAAAAAGAUGAAGUGAGGCAGAAAUCCUCUUCACCUUUGUUAGAUUUUAUACGUUCUUUUAUUUCAAACACAACAAAUCUUGUGUUUUUUUUUUUUUUUUUAAAUGAGACAUGUUUUACAAUUUGGUUCGUCUCCCUGUCAUUGUUUUAGCAGACAUUUGUAAGAGUAAAUACGAGUGGAUUGAGUGGUUUCCUGUUUAUUCGUUCAUUAAUGAAAUAAAUAAAAAG